rnacentral:rRNA from 1 species
AUUAGCUAGUUGGUAAGGUAACGGCUUACCAAGGCGACGAUGUUUAGGGGACCUGAGAGGGUUGUCCCCCACACUGGUACUGAGACACGGACCAGACUCCUACGGGAGGCAGCAGUGAGGAACAUUGGUCAAUGGGCGCAAGCCUGAACCAGCCAUCCCGCGUGAAGGAAGAAUGCGCUACGCGUUGUAAACUUCUUUUCCAGGGGGAGAAUAAUCCUGUCGUGACAGGACUUGACGGUACUCUGGGAAUAAGCAUCGGCUAACUCCGUGCCAGCAGCCGCGGUAAUACGGAGGAUGCGAGCGUUAUCCGGAUUUAUUGGGUUUAAAGGGUGCGUAGGCGGAUUGAUAAGUCAGUGGUGAAAUUCUACAGCUUAACUGUAGACUUGCCGUUGAUACUGUUAGUCUUGAGUGUGGUCAAGGCAGGCGGAAUGUGUAAUGUAGCGGUGAAAUGCUUAGAUAUUACACAGAACACCGAUUGCGAAGGCAGCUUGCUGGGUCAUUACUGACGCUGAUGCACGAAAGCGUGGGGAUCAAACAGGAUUAGAUACCCUGGUAGUCCACGCCGUAAACUAUGAUCACUCGCUGUUGGCGAUACACAGUCAGCGGCUAAGCAAAAGCAUUAA